AAGUGCUCUAAUAUCAUUUCUGUGUGCUGGGUUGCGCACCCAUCAUGUUUUGGGAAAGAUCCUUUAGUGGAAUCUCCUGGUUCUACAAAUAAGAAACUGGAAUGUGGCAUUGUGGAAGCUGAGAAGUCUGGGGUCAAGAGGGCUGUGUCUGGUGAGAGUCUUCGUGCUGGUGGGGACUCUGCUGAAUCCCGAGGCCAUGCAGGCCAUCCCAUGGAGCUGUCUAACGAUCUCCAAUCUUAAAAAGGAGCACACAGCAAGCGUGGAGGGCACCUAACUAAGAAGUCCUAUAGAGACUGGAGGGACCCGAUGAUCAAAAAGAAGUUUUGAAUGACUUGGAUUAGCAAAUGCUAAACACCUUGGAACUUAAAAAGAAAAGAUGUAAAGGAAAUAUGGAAUAAAGGAGAGAUUUACUAUUUGAGAAAAGUAGUGAAACUCCAAAGGCACUUUCAAAUCAAUACCAGGAAGCGCAUUUUCAUAAAUCUAUGGCAGAUAGAAAGAACUGUCCUGAGAAGGAGCAGCAUGACCAGGCGUGGUGUUGUUUAACCUCUUGGUUGUGAUGCCGGAGAGGAGAUGCUAAUUAGA
rnacentral:lncRNA from 1 species